GAUGAACGCUGGCGGCGUGCCUAAUACAUGCAGGUCGAGCGAACAGACGAGGAGCUUGCUCCUCUGACGUUAGCGGCGGACGGGUGAGUAACACGUGGAUAACCUACCUAUAAGACUGGGAUAACUUCGGGAAACCGGAGCUAAUACCGGAUAAUAUAUUGAAUCGCAUGGUUCAAUAGUGAAAGACGGUUUUGCUGUCACUUAUAGAUGGAUCCGCGCCGCAUUAGCUAGUUGGUAAGGUAACGGCUUACCAAGGCAACGAUGCGUAGCCGACCUGAGAGGGUGAUCGGCCACACUGGAACUGAGACACGGUCCAGACUCCUACGGGAGGCAGCAGUAGGGAAUCUUCCGCAAUGGGCGAAAGCCUGACGGAGCAACGCCGCGUGAGUGAUGAAGGUCUUCGGAUCGUAAAACUCUGUUAUUAGGGAAGAACAAAUGUGUAAGUAACUAUGCACGUCUUGACGGUACCUAAUCAGAAAGCCACGGCUAACUACGUG
rnacentral:rRNA from 1 species